CGCCCUCUCUCAUACAAAUCGGGAAACCUCGUCGCGGAAGGUUUUCCUCUUUUCUGUCUAUAUUUUCUGUAAAAUAUCCACAUUUUACAGCACAGUUUCGGCGUCUUUUUACUCUAGCUCGUACGUCAAAUCACUGUGUGUGUUCAUGGGGUUGGAUUUUGCGUAAAAAAGGAGGUUUUAGUCGGGAAAGGUGUGACUAAAAAUAGAUCACUGCCCGAUAUACUUGUAGGGAAAUCUAGUGAGAGCUUUCCAUUCAUAAAUUACAUUCAUUUGGUGUCGGGCAGUGAAGUAAUACAGUUGGGAGAAGCGAUAUAACUAGUGAAUGUAUUAGUUCGGUGAUAAGGUUCAAGUGCUGACGGAGAUCGAUACACGGGCCCCUGCCUGAGUUCAUCUUUUGAGAAGACACCAGUUCACCGCUCAGAAGAAAAAAUGGCGACGGAGGGCGGUCUGGCGCCUGGUGGCGAUGGAGACAUGCCCGUGGGCGGACCCAAGACGCCGCAGCAGAUCGCCGCCCAGCGCCGUCUGCAGCAGACGCAGGCACAAGUUGAUGAGGUGGUUGAUAUAAUGAAAACGAACGUGGAGAAAGUGCUGGAGCGAGAUCAGAAACUCUCAGAGCUUGAUGACAGAGCAGACGCACUGCAACAGGGAGCUUCACAGUUUGAACAGCAGGCCGGCAAACUCAAAAGCAAAUUCUGGCUGCAAAACUUAAAGAUGAUGAUAAUCGCAGCUGUUAUUGGAAUCAUCAUCUUGGCCCUAAUCAUCGCCAACUUUGUGUGAACAAGUUUCGGUAACCGACGUUUAAUUUAGAAGUUACUCGUUAUAAUGUUAAUUAAUACUUAGUAUAAAACGUAUGUUGUUAUAUUUUAUAUAUAAUUACGUUAUUGGUACUAAGCCUAUCUUGGUCUGUAAACCACACGUGGAGGAUUGGGCAGAGGUAUGGAUAUAAAACAGGAGAACCAUCCCAGCUGCCGUAACAUCAAGAACGAACUUUGAAACAACUUUUAAUUUUAUUUUUCCUAGUAAUUAGUGUUGUUAAUAAAUGUCCUCUGGAUAAUAUCACAAGAAAUAUAUCCAAUGUUUUGCCUACUACGAAAAUAUCAAAAACUAUUUAUCCUAUCAAAACUUUUUGUAAAUUUCGAAAUCACGCGUCUUUGACAUGAUUUCUUUUAUAUCACUAACAAACAAUGUUUAAUGCUCUGUUUACUACGAAAUAUAGUAUUUUUAGAUGAUCUUUCUUUGUUAUAAAUUUUACCACAGAAAUUAAUAUUCGCUAUUAGAUAAGACUUAUCAAAAAUACAGUAAAUAUCUCUUGAAUCUUUUUUACUUUUUUCGAAACUAGGCUGUUUAAUACGAAUGCAACGGUAUUUUUUUUAUAUUCGGACCAAAUUUCUUGAGCAUUUUAUUUGGGGUCGUUUGAUCUUUUAUUUUUUUAACUUUUAAAUUGUUGAACUUUGAUAAUAUCUACUGUCUACCUAUACAAAUGUGUUUAUCUGCUUGUAAAUCCUACCACUUUAUAGGUGUUAUAUGAAUAGAUAUUUACACUUUAUAAAAUAUCAGUCCAUUUAUGAAAUGGACGUAUGUUUCGGCUGAUUUCUGUAUUCAAAGUUCCAAGUUAUCACGACUAUAAUAUAACUACCAUUUUGAUAGCAUAGCGUGUAUUGGGCCCAUGUUAGCACCACGGCGCGGCGGUUUAGUAAAUUAUUUACAUAUAUAUGUUUCAAUCGCUUUAUAGCUGUAAUCUAUAACCGUGAUCUAUAUUUUGAAACGAAAAUUUGUACUUAAUCAAAUUGUUGUUUGUUUAAGUAAAAUUAAAUUAGAAUAUAAUUAAGGACUUGUGCUAUCUUGCGUUUUUACAUUUAAUAAAAAAAAAUGUGUAAUCGUAACUGGCCAAUAUUUUUAAAAAUAUAUAAUCUAUCCUGUGUAACUACAGCAAAUAACGCAUUAAAUAUCUUUUUACUGUGUGUAUUAAUGUAUGUAAAAACAGCUUUGUAGUUAGAAAUUGUAAAAAUUCACACUAGGUAUUUAGAUGUUUCAAAUAAAUAGCCACUCAUUAGUUAUAUUAAUCAUUAUUGUAUUCGCGGCUCCUUUACAGUUGGUCGGGACUUGCAUACUGUGUACAUUCACCGAGAUAUCAUUGCACUGCGUGAAUGGGAACGACUAAACUAUAAUUGCCACAUUAAAAAAUACAUGACAGAAGCGACCAAGUGUAGUGGAGCCUUAACAUUUACUAUAAACAUAGAUUUAUAGAAAUUAUUGGGAGGAUUGGCCAGUAACUUACUCGAAAUUUAGAUGAAUGGGAUUUUGGGAUGAAUAUUAUCAAAUUGAGGUCGGUCCUUUAUUCGAGAUCAUGUAUCGAGACCGAUUAUUAAAAGUACGUAAGUUGCACAUCGUUAUUGUUGACAGUCUCAUUAGGGCGAGAUAUUAGAUCGUAAUUAUAAGUAUGACGUCACGAUUUUGAAACACAGUAGCUAUUUUGUUGUAUGUAUACUUAUUUUGGGUAAGGUGGUGAUGAGGAUCCAUCUCACCUAAUAAUUAUGACAAUAUUUUAUCAUAUUUUGUAGUUCGUUUUUCUAGAUUCGACUGGACAACAUUCACACAUGAUAAAGAUAAUAACAUUUCAUUGUUCAAUUACAUCUUCCUAAUUAUCUCAAAACAAGCCAAAAAUAACACUGCUAUUGUAUUAACGGUUGAAGUCCAAGUUAAAAAUAAUUUAAUAUUUAGUCUGAUUUUUAUUAUUUUAUUAUACUAUGUCUGAUCGCCUAGAAUGUUGAUACAUUUACAGACAUAGUGUAAAUAUUGUUCUUCCAAUACAACUGACAAUAAUAUUGUCAUUAUCAUUUUGUAAAAGGAAGCAUUGUUUAUUGAGUAUUGAUUGGUAUAGUAAAAACGAUGGUUUAGGGAUUACCCGGGUAAGCAAAAAUUUGUUAAGAUUACCAGUUGCGAAAUUGUAUCAUAAGAUCUAUAAAUGUCUUGACUAAAGGCACACUAUCAUCCAAUGGGAUUAUUUACGUAACUAUCAAAUUAUGGGCGUAAAAAAAAUAUCUACACAUCUGCCUACCCCUUUGGUGAUCAACCAGGAUAAUUAUGUUUUGUAAGUUGUUGAAAAUACUGUGUUUCCAGAACGUUGACAAAAAUAACAUUCACUGUAAGGUAAAAAGAUAACACACCACAAGUAUGUUAUGGGAUUUAGAUAAUAAUUUGGCUGUUACUUAUAGCGUUGUUUACAACACUAUGACGUUAGCGCAACACUAGUCUUCUUCAGUGUUGCCGCGCUAUAUUUUAAACAACAUUGUAGGUAGGUAAGCCAUAGCUAUAAGCAUUGUGGUCAUAAAAUAUAAAUUAAAAUGAAAUAAAAAUGUUGUAACUGAAA